GGGGAUGAUCGGCAUAGACAGCUGACCAUGUUCGUUCGUGCGGCGCGAGCACCAUUACCUCGUAAAUCUGAUGGAAAACCUAAAUGCUAAAACUCCUUCACCGUAUUUUACGGCUAAAGACUUUACAUUCGCUCUUGCAUAAAGAGCGCACUCGCCUCGGGGGAUUCUGACUUGAGGACCGGGUGUUAUAACCUGAAUGUAGGGAAGAUGGGACCUCUCGACCCAUUGCCCGAAUCAAAGAGAUCGCGUCUGUGUGUUUUGUCUGCUUUAUAGCACAGAACGUUAAAUCUUAAAGCUCUCUACCGCCGUAGAAUCGUUCGACGCAUAUCAGUUGCACCUGGGUUCGAUUCCCAGCAUCUCCACCA
rnacentral:tmRNA from 1 species